CCGGUGAUGAUACGAUGAGUCUCUGGGGGUCACUGGGUCAAGGUCACGUUCUGUGUCUCUGGGUUCAGUUCCCCAGAGCAGCGUGUUCUUUUCAGUUGAAGACAUGGGCAUUUGUCUGAGAAGG
rnacentral:snoRNA from 1 species